CUGCAUAAGACACAAAACAACUCAACCUAACCCUACUCCUCUCUUUCAUUUCAGCCGUUUUCUUUCCCUCUUCCUUCUCUCUCCUCUCUCCUCUCUCCUCUCUCCUCCCUCUUCAUCUUCUAUCUCCUUUCUAAGAAUGAGGAAUUGAUUCUCAUUCCCCUCUUCAUCACCGUAGAUUAUAAUCACCAUCACCGUAGAUCUUCAUCGUCACCAAUCUCCUUCAUCAUCAACCUCCUUCAUCACCAUCAACUCCGACUUCAUCAUCGAUCUCCUUCAUCAUCGACGAAAAUUGGUGAUAGAAGAUGUCAAGCAAAUCUUUGAAGUGAGGAGCUCCAACAAAAUCGUGUCCUAUAAUUUUUGUUUUAGAUUAGAUCAAGUAUUAUAAUUAUUUUGACUCUAUUAGAUCUAGAUCUAAGUUGUUGGUACAAGUAUAGUUAAUUUAAUUUUGUAAUAACUCUUGAUGAUGAUAUAUAUAUAAGUUUGGGUUUUAUUUUAAUAAUAUGAAAAA